rnacentral:rRNA from 1 species
GACGAACGCUGGCGGCGUGCUUAACACAUGCAAGUCGAACGGAAAGGCCCCUUUGGGGGUACUCGAGUGGCGAACGGGUGAGUAACACGUGAGUAACCUGCCCUUGACUUCGGGAUAACUUCAGGAAACUGGGGCUAAUACCGGAUAGGAAUCCUUGCUGCAUGGUGGGGGUUGGAAAGCUUCGGCGGUUUUGGAUGGACUCGCGGCUUAUCAGCUUGUUGGUGGGGUAGUGGCUUACCAAGGCUUUGACGGGUAGCCGGCCUGAGGGGGCGACCGGCCACAUUGGGACUGAGAUGCGGCCCAGACGCCGACGGGAGGCAGCAGUGGGGAACAUUGCACAAGGGGCGGAAGCCGGAUGCAGCAACGCCGCGGGCGGGAUGACGGCCUUCGGGUUGUAAACCGCUUUCAGCAGGGGCGAAGCUUGUGGUGACGGUACCUGCAGAAGAAGCACCGGCUAACUACGUG